UCAGUGCUGUUCUCAUAAUAGUGAAUAAGUCUCACAAUUUCUGAUGGCUUUAUAAAGCGGAGUUCCCCAGCACAUGAGCUCUCUUGCCUGCCUACAUGUAAGACAUCACUUUGCUCCUCGUUGCCUUCCUCCAUGAUUGUGAGGCCUCCCCAGCCAUGUGGAACUGUGGCAGAAACCGUGAUUGUAUUUUUUUUUCUUUUUAUGUGCCCUGUUAAGCCUUGGAAAACAAAGAUAAAAUCUGAGCUUCCUGCAAGUUUUACCUACUCAGCCACUUACUUUCCAGGAUCCUUCAUCAUGAAAGCAAUUGUAUGGGGUAAGAGAUUGGAGUUAGUGCAGGAAACAAGAAAAGAUAAAACUAGAGCCUCACCAAGGGAACAGCCCCAGACCAGGUAUAUUGGGGGCAAGAGGAAGGCGUUAAAGAUGAAAUGGAGUUUAAAGACAAACAAGUUUUAGGUGCACAGUGACCAUGCAAUGCUCCAAAGCCAGGUAUACAAGAUGCAUGGCAGUGGUGGUUGGAGAAAAUUGCCAUGGGAUUGGCACAUGGAUUGGCACUGAGCACAGGGAUAUGAAACUUCAUGCUCAUGAUUGCAAUUCAGGAAGCCAAAGGGCAAAGGAAGUAUUGUAUGGGGUUUGUGAUCUAAGUAUUAAGAAACCAAAAUGCAAAUACUAAUAAACAUGGAACCAAAAAGACUUUAUGUAUGGAGCAGUGCAAAGCUGGUACAAGAGCUGUGAAUCCUCAAGAAUGCAACCUCUACUGUGGGAGAAAUUGAGGCCCUACAAGGUUAGAUGACUUGCUCAGGAUCAACAAUUGUUAAAUGUCAGAGCAGGGAUUCAGAACCAGGACAUAUGACUCCAAGUCUAAUAUUCAUUCCACCAUGUAUCACCGUGGCCUUUUCCUGUCUUGAGCCUACAUUAGAAUUGAAGUCUCAAAC
rnacentral:lncRNA from 1 species